GAUGAAGAACGCAGCGAAAUGCGAUAAGUAAUGUGAAUUGCAGAAUUCAGUGAAUCAUCGAAUCUUUGAACGCACAUUGCGCCCGCCAGUAUUCUGGCGGGCAUGCCUGUUCGAGCGUCAUUUCAACCAUCAAGCCCCCGGCUUGUGUUGGGGACCUGCGGCUGCCGCAGGCCCUGAAAACCAGUGGCGGGCUCGCUGUCACACCGAGCGUAGUAGAUUUUCAUCUCGCUCAGGGCGUGCUGCGGGUUCCGGCCGUAAAAAGCCUUAUUUACCCAAGGUUGACCUCGAAUCAGGUAGGAAGACCCGCUGAACUUAAGCAUAUCAAUAAGCGGAGGA
rnacentral:misc_RNA from 1 species